rnacentral:rRNA from 1 species
AUUGAACGCUGGCGGCAGGCCUAACACAUGCAAGUCGAGCGGAUGAAGGGAGCUUGCUCCUGGAUUCAGCGGCGGACGGGUGAGUAAUGCCUAGGAAUCUGCCUGGUAGUGGGGGAUAACGUCCGGAAACGGGCGCUAAUACCGCAUACGUCCUGAGGGAGAAAGUGGGGGAUCUUCGGACCUCACGCUAUCAGAUGAGCCUAGGUCGGAUUAGCUAGUUGGUGGGGUAAAGGCCUACCAAGGCGACGAUCCGUAACUGGUCUGAGAGGAUGAUCAGUCACACUGGAACUGGGACACGGUCCAGACUCCUACGGGAGGCAGCAGUGGGGAAUAUUGGACAAUGGGCGAAAGCCUGAUCCAGCCAUGCCGCGUGUGUGAAGAAGGUCUUCGGAUUGUAAAGCACUUUAAGUUGGGAGGAAGGGCAGUAAGUUAAUACCUUGCUGUUUUGACGUUACCAACAAAAUAAGCACCGGCUAACUUCGUG